rfam:Oryza nivara chromosome 3, whole genome shotgun sequence.
AAUAAGUGUAGUUGUGAGUUUCAGUGCCCAAUUUUGACCAUCCGUUUUGUUUGAAAUAUUUUUAUGAUUAGUAUUUUUGAAACAAUGCUUUAUACAUGACUUAAUUUUAAAAUUUUUUUAUAAAUUUUUGAAAUAAGACGGACGGUUAAAUAUUGGGCACGGAAAUUUAUGGCUGCACUUAUA